rnacentral:rRNA from 1 species
UAGGGAAUCUUCCGCAAUGGACGCAAGUCUGACGGAGCAACGCCGCGUGAGUGAAGAAGGAUUUCGGUUCGUAAAACUCUGUUGUUAGAGAAGAACAGCGCAUAGAGUAACUGUUAUGCGUGUGACGGUAUCUAACCAGAAAGCCACGGCUAACUACGUGCCAGCAGCCGCGGUAAUACGUAGGUGGCAAGCGUUGUCCGGAUUUAUUGGGCGUAAAGCGAGCGCAGGCGGUCAAUUAAGUCUGAUGUGAAAGCCCCCGGCUCAACCGGGGAGGGUCAUUGGAAACUGGUUGACUUGAGUGCAGAAGAGGAGAGUGGAAUUCCAUGUGUAGCGGUGAAAUGCGUAGAUAUAUAGAAGAACACCAGUGGCGAAGGCGACUCUCUAGUCUGUAACUAACGCUGAGGCUCGAAAGCGUGGGUAGCAAACAGG